rnacentral:misc_RNA from 1 species
GUGACAUGAUACAAUAGUGAGUCACUGGGAAUACUUUUAGUCUUUUGCAAUAAACCAAAAAGGCAAAAUUAAUAUACGACCAAAAAGAAGCGAACAAUGCCGCCGCGACCGGUCUACAAUAUAAUCUAGAGCGAGAUCGGAGGCUCGUGUUGUACCCUUUGAACUUCUGAAUCAGGCCUCCAUUGAACUUCGAAGACGCGACUCGACGCUGUCAUUUCCAAGUAGUUCUUGUUAUCACAGUUCGCUCAGUUUGGAUUUAAUUCUUAUGAGGAGUUAUCGGGAGUUUCAAGGGUGACGUAUGUGGUGUCACUGGAAGCUGAUAACGACGACAACGAUAAUGUAGAAACACACAUCAGAAUAUCAUCACCACAGUCAGCACAAUGGACCAGGUAGAAGUGACGGAGCUGGACAAUUCUGUCCGCGUCCAAACCGAUGUGCCGCACCUUGUCAGUCUGGGGGGAGGCCGGUUGUCAGUGGGUGUCACGAUCCUGGCCAUCAAUGCAGGUCGCACAACGAUGGGGAGUGGGUCGGAGUACAAGAUGCCCGACAUCGUGUUAGAGGGCACCGGGGUGGAGGCUGACCACUGCUACAUUGAGAACUGUGACAGCGUCAUCACGCUCGUGCCCAUCGCCCAUCUCACCGCCAUUGAUGGAGUUAUCAUAGACAAGCCAACACGUCUCGCUCAAGGUUCCACCAUCUGCCUGGGUCGGUCUAACUAUUUUCGCUUCAAUCAUCCGCAGGAGGCUAAGAAAAUGAAGGACAACAUGCCAAACUGUCGCAUCUCCUGUGUCCCGCUCAAUUUCCUACAUGAGCUGGAACAGAAUCCUGACUAUAUAAAGAUGAUUGCGGAGGCGGAGACCACUUCGUCAUCGCGUUCCAGCGACAGUUCCGUGACUUCGGGAUUCGCGACGCGUGGUUCUGGCGACAGUUCGACAUCUGAGUCAUUUGUGUCAAGUCACGAGACGUACCGCGACAGUCUUGAGAACGAUGACUUCCUGCUGAAAGUGUCGAAAUUCGAGACGAUCGGCCGCACGAAACACUCACCCACCACUAAAAGCCCGACCAGUAAAGUCUUUUCCCAGGAUGCAGCGCUACUGGACGCCGUCACGAACGUCUCCAGUCACAUGGGCGAGAAAGUCUUUACACGCGACACGGCGACAACGCGGGUUUCCGCCAACGUGCUUCAGUCAAAGGAGAGAGUUGUCAGCUCCGGGAGCACGCGGAGUUCCGGUUCGCUCACUAGUGUGAGUACGCUCAGUGUGAGUUCCGACUCUUCGGUGAACUCUGCACGAACGACAACAUCAUCCACGUCACAACACGCUGGUUUCACAUCGCCCUCUGCUCAUAUACCGACGUCCCCGGGAUUAGUCAAUGGGGUGCUGGUAUCGGGACCAUUCACCAACCUAGACGCUGUGAUAACCAAUGGGGAACUGACCCCGACAGAUAGACACAAUAUCAGUGCUUCCAGUUCACAGAAUUCUAGUCAUCGGAACACUUUCGAGGGAAUUGACUUUGACGUCAGUGAGUUGACGGCGGCGCAGAGGGAACUAACGAUGAAACACAGAGAGGUCGUCGCCGAACGCAAACGCGACCAGGAGAUGGAGAAGCAGGAACGACAGCGAUUGGAGGAUAUUCUUAGAAUGUGUGCCGAGUACGAGAAACAGAUUGAACAGGAACAGGUGGGUGUGGGGGUCGUUGCUAAGAAACCGAAGACCCCCGAGAAAAAGACGCCAACUCCGCCUGUUUUCAAAGUGCCGGAAACGAAACCUGCGAACAGAGUAGGAGAAGUGAGAACUUUCGGUGUGAGGACGGCACAGCCCCCCGGUUUCCUCGACAUCUCUGCCGAGAACACCUCCCAGGAUCGCAACCGCAGCUCGGUGUCAAAAAUCAAAACGAACGGUUCGCUGAUGUCAUCGUCGCCAAGCAACCCACACAAAGACGGACUGUUCAGUUUUCAGAUGCGUAAGUGCGAGUCGAACUCUUCUACGUCGGAGGAGGAAGCUCAUGCCAGUUCCGAAGAGACGGGGACCAUCAAACGGAGACCAGACGCGAAGACGUCAUCAUCAUUAUCAUCGUCGUCAUCAUCGCCGACGUCGCAAACCCCCACCGAUGUCAUUGACGGACCAUCGAGUCUUCCCCCUGAUGCUCAGAACUCUAUAGAUCAGAUCAUGAACUCGUCGUUUGAGUCGAACCACAGCGUGGGAACGUUCACGGUGCAGCUCAACGCUCAGAUAUCUGUCAACGAUGACGAGUCAGCUGUGGACGAUUUCGCAAAGUUGGAAAAAGAUUCGCAUUCGUCGACGUCGUCCAGCCUCACUCUGAAAGACCCGUCUUCCGAUUCCCUGUCCAACCGAUCAGAGAGUGUGCACAGUAAAGAAGACACACCAACGCCAGUCAACAGUGAUACAGAAACUAGUCUACAGCUGGAGCAGACGGAAGCCGGUCUAUUUUCAGAUAAUAUGGAAACCAGUCGACAUCAAGAUGAUAUGGAAAAUGGUCGACAUCAAGAUCAUAUGGCAAAUGGUGGAAAUCAAGAUGAUAUCGAGACGGGUCGACUAGUGGAUCACCAUUUACAGCAUGUAGAUAGUACCGAUCGCCCGCAGAGUGGCGGUGUGAGGUCUGAGUCCUUCCAGAAUAAUGUAUUUCAGGUUGCUAUGGAUACCAAGAACAAUCAGGACGGCCCGUUGUCACCAAGUCAGCGUGCAUCUGCACGUAUUACAGAGGAGGCUGACAUUAGACAACAGUUGGAGAAGUUGAAGAAGGCCAAGUCUGAGUUGUUACAGCGGAUAUCUGACUUGAAACAUCAGAUCAUGGACAUCGAGACACAGGAGACCGAGGCAAUCAGGGAGCUGGAGAUGGAGCGCGCCCUAUUGGAGGGUGAGCACCAGACGGAGAUGGGGAAGUUGCACGUGGACCAGGACCGGAUCGACCACCUAAAACAGAGACAGGCCCACCUCACCGAGCAGGCCACCCGUGAGAGAGAACGGAUGAAAAGAAGGGAUCUGCGAGUGCUGGAAGAAGAACGACAGAAGCUACAUGACCUCGAGCACGCUCACUACCAGACCGAGCAGCACCUGGAGGCUCUGUGUCGCCAAGAUGAUGAGGACCCAGUCCUGGAGAAGUACCGUCUAGAACAGGACGUCCUCGACAACCAGCAGCAGAUCUGUGACGAUCUGGAGUUUCAACAGCUCGAGGUGGAGUCUCGGUAUGAGGUGGACAAGGAAGAACUGAGCAAGCGACUUGAGACAGAGGAGGAGAAUUUGUUCCACAAGUACAGAGCUCGUGAGGAUCGUCUUCAGGAGAUUGACCAGCAACAGAGGGAGAUGGUGAACGCCGUCAAGAGAGAUCUCGAAGCGAUGGAACAGGAUCGGCUCAAACUAGUGGACUACUUUCGUAAAGAGAAAGCUAAACUUGAGCCACUGGAUGAUGAAAUUCACAAGUUGUGUCAAGAGUUGUCUGUCCCUGUUGAUGAUGAGUACUUUGCGAAUGCGGAACUGAGCAGCUUUCUUUCCGAUGUUGAUGUGGAGGAGAUGCAGAUGUCGAGGCGAGAGAUCGUGGACAGUCCGAAGAAGAAGUUUCUCAAAGAGGACCACGGAGAGACGGACAGGAAGAGAUCGCUCACACUGCAAGACAUCGAGAGAAACCGGUCCAUUUUCCUAGAACAACAAGGAAGUAUCAUCAUUGGUCAGGAGCGCCGUCGUCUGGAGGAGUUGAAGCGCCGCGCGGCUGAUGAGGGUCGUGCUCAGUGGGAAGAGCGUCGCCGGGCUGCGGACGAGGGCCGCACGCCGUGGGACGAGCGCCGACUGCGCGAGAGUAACUGCAAGAGUUUCAACUCUCUCGAGUCUGAGGAUUCCAGCAUCGCCAGCAGUUGUGAGACGCCAUCGGAGAAAGAAAUCAGUCUCAGCAGUAAUGGUGAAGAUCAGCUGGAGAAACUGGCGGAGCUGGAGAGACUUCUGGCGCAGGCUCAGGCUGACAAGGUCCAUCUAGUCGAGGAGCGGGUGAAGUUCCAUGAGGCGGAGAUGGUGGCUCUACAGGAGGAGCGCAGCAAGCGCGCGGCUCUCGAAGAUAAACUGCAGCGUGAGACCCUGCUACGAGAGGAACUCGUGCAGCAGCGCGUCAACAUGAGAGAGAAGCAGAUGCAGCAGGCUCGGCCUCUGACGCGCUACCUUCCGAUACGCAACAAGGAGUUCAACCUGCAGCACCACAUCGAGUCUGCCGGGCACAGCCUGGAGGCUUGUCAGCACGUGAUCAUCAUGGCAACCAGCUGCCGCGGCUUCCUGCACAAGAUGGGGAACAAGUUCAAGACAUGGCACAAACGCUGGUUCGUGUUCGACCGGAUGAAGCGUUCACUGCUCUACUACAGCGACAAGACGGAGACGAAGGCGCGCGGUGGCAUCUACUUCCAGUCGAUCGAGGAGGUCUACGUCGACCACCUGCGAACUGUGAAGAGUCCCAACCCCAAACUGACCUUCUGUGUUAAGACGUACGACAGGACCUAUUUCCUCGUGGCGCCCACACCCGAAGCCAUGCGGAUAUGGAUAGACGUGAUUUUCACGGGGGCGGAGGGAUAUCAGCAAUUCUUGUGACGGCCUCCCGUAAUGAUGUCAAAAAUUACAGGACCUAUUUUCUUGUGGCGCCCAAUCCCGAAGCUAUGUGGAUAUGGAUAGACAUGAUUUUCACAGUGGCAGAGGGAUACCAGCAAUUCUUGUGAUCGCCUCCCGUAAUGAUGACAAAAUUACAGGACCUAUUUUCUUGUGGCGCCCAUGCCCGAAGCUAUGUGGAUAUGGAUAGACGUGAUUUUCACAGGGGGCGGAGGGAUACCAGCACUUCCCAUAAUGGUGUUAAAAUAUAGUUCUUAUGUCAUGGAUGCGGGGAGUUGAUGUUUGACAGAUGUGUGUUUCGUAAUGCGAUGUUGCCAGAAGCCAUGUAUGAACAUCCAGACAGACUAAGAUAUGUGUUAUAAGGCCACCUGGGGCUGUAUAUAAAGUGGCCUCUAAAGUCAGGUGGCUGCUUAAUGCAGGUCUGUUUGUAUUAGAUGGGAAAGUAAGAUGACCUCUUUAGAGAAGUGGCUGUACAAUUAUUAAUACAUGUCACCAGAGCGGCCUCUCAAGUCAGGUGGCUGAUUAAUACAGGUCAGCUUGAAUUAGAUGGCUUUAAAAAAGUAAGGUGGAAAAGUAAGAUUACAUCUUUAGAGAGGUGGCCGUAUAAUGCAGGUCGUCACUGUGUAUUGUCAAUACAGGGCAGUCGUAUAUGAAGUCCAUUUACAAAGGUGGCUUAUUAACAGAGGUCAUGUCUUAAGCUUUGAGCAGUAUAGCAAGCUGGCCUUUAAACAGAUGGCUGUUUAAGACAGGAUUGUAAUAUAUUAUUAUGAUUUGAAACAACAGUGAGAUGUCCUCUUAAGGCAGGUGGCUGCUGAACACAGGUUAUGCUUUGAACAAUAUAUAUAGUAAGCUGACCCCUUGACAGGUGGCUCUUUAAUACAGGAUUGUACUGUAUAUUGUAUGAUUUGCAACCACUGUAUGAUGUCCCCUUAAGACAGGUGGCUGCUUAAAGCAGGUUGCUACCUAAUACAAGAGAAUCAGAGUUUGAAAAUUAGCAAGGUGAUUUAUUUCAACAGGUGGCUGUUUAAUGCAGGUCCCAUACUACAUGUAAGUUGUGGAAAAAACUUGGAUGACCUAUUAAGACAGGUGGCUGUUAAAUAGAGGUCAUUUGCUAUUGUGAUGUGGAGACUAGUAAAGUAACAUCUUACUGCGAGGAGCUGCUAUACAGAGGUGCUGACAUAUGUAGGUCUGAGUAAACCUUGGCAUAUAAAACAUUAAAACAUUAUUACACGAGCGACGUAAGUUUGAAGAAUGUCACUCAAAUUUCUACGCUGUCUGUACUGAGUGGUUCUGUUUUGAAUUAUCAUGUUCUGUUCUGAAUUGUCAUGUUCUGAAUUGUCAUGUUCUGAAUUAUCCUGUUCUGAAUUGUCAGGUUCUGAAUUAUCCUGUUCUGAAUUAUCAUCAUGUAUCCUAUCAAAUUACCUCAGUCUAAUUCUGAUCUGCUGAAUGGUUUACCGUAAAUAAUCGCAUUACAGUCUGUGUCUUUAAUAUUAAAAUACGACAUCAGCAAUUGUCUGUAUACAGAUGUGUGUAUAUUUACGCUGAAAUCGCUCUAUUACUAUAACUGGGGCCAUAGUGCAGAAUGAUUAAAUAAGCUCUUUACUUAGUUGUUAUUUUAAUAUUAAAACAUGACAUCAGCAGAUGUGUGUAUAUACAUGUAUUUACGCUAAAAUUGUUCUAUUACUUCCAUAGGGGGUGAUAACUGGGGCCAUGAUACAGAAUAAUCACUUUACAUAGUUGUAAUUUUAAUAUUAAAACAUGGCAUCGAUAGAUGUGUGUAUAUUUACUCUGAAAUCGCUCUAUUACUUCCAUAGGGGGCUAUAACUGGGGCCAUGGUGUAGAAUGAUUAACUAAUCACUUUACAUAGUUGUCAUUUUAAUAUUAAAACAUGACAUCAGGAGAUGUGUGUAUAUUUACUCUGAAAUCGCUCUAUUACUUCCAUAGGGGGCUAUAACUGGGGCCAUGGUGUAGAAUGAUUAACUAAUCACUUUACAUAGUUAUCAUUUUAAUAUUAAAACAUGACAUCAGCAGAUGUGUGUAUAUUUACUCAGAAAUCGCUUUAUUACUUCCAUAGGGGGCUAUAUCUGGGGCCAUGGUGUAGAAUGAUUAACUAAUCACUUUACAUAGUUGUCAUUUUAAUAUUAAAACAUGACAUCAGCAGAUGUGUGUAUAUUUACUCAGAAAUCGCUCUAUUACUUCCAUAGCGGGCUAUAACUGGGGCCAUGGUGCAGAAUGGUAAAAUGAUCACUUUACAAUAUAGUCUGUGUCAAUAAUAUGAAAACCUGACAUAGCGUACGUACGUGUGUUUAUUUACUCUGAAGUGGCUGUAUUACUUCACAAUGUGGCUAUAACUGGGGCCAUGGUGCAGAAUGGUAAAAUGAUCACUUUACAAUAUAGUCUGUGUCAAUAAUAUGAAAACCUGACAUAGCGUACGUACGUGUGUUUAUUUACUCUGAAGUGGCUGUAUUACUUCACAAUGUGGCUUUAACUGGGGCCAUGAUAGUUUUAAUUAUUUUGUAUCUGUCGUACAACACAAGUGAAGUCAAUUAGCAACUUAUAGGGUUUUUUAUGGUUUUGUUUUUAAAACAUUUGUAUUCCCAGAUCCUCUGUUUUACAGCCAUAUCUCCACACACUCCCACAAGAGUGGAAGAGAUUGUGGAUAUUAAAGGGACGGACCCUGGUUUUUUAAACACUAAGGCAUAUUUUUCACCUGGAUCCUUGUUUGAACUCGUAAAAAUGGACACUAAAUUUGGUUAAUUUAGAAACCUGUAACAAAUUUG